AUUCCACUGCCUAGUUACCAUCUGAAAGGUUCUAUUUUGCCACCGCAACUUUAAUUAGAUUGUUAUAGUUCAGACUAAGGGGAUCAAAAUUAGUCAUCUGUUAGCUAUGUACUGUGGACCUCAACACUAGCUGAGUAGCUACGUAGCUAAUCAUUGAUCUUGUCUUGGGUGAAAGGCUGGCGUUUGUUAAUUCAGAUACUAAAAGGUAACCGACACUGACUUUAUUUGUUUACUUUCCUUCUGAACUCUUAUUUGCUUAGCUUCUAUUGAUGAUAUUUCUAAUCUUUUAUCUUCGUCGGUAAACUCAACUGCAUCUCAGUUUUCUGUUCCCAUUUCCUGGAUUGCGGGUCCUGAUGCGCAAGAUUCUUCUGUUUGCUACAGCGCACGCAGGCCUGGACGAUGGCAAGCAUUGAUGUGCGCACGUCGUUGCAACAGCCACAUCUCAACCAUCCCGACGCACGCAAUAAUCAGAGGUGCCAAAAUGAUUUGGUGUUUGCAAGGGUCGCUUUUGUUGCAUUUUCUACAUGAGAAACCAUCUCAGGCUAUUUGGAUGCACCUGCACAGUACUGAUAGUACAUGAAAUUCAUCAACCUGCUGUUGCCGCAACCAACCAAAAUCUGCUCUAACAGAGUGAUGAAUACAAUAUUCAUGCUAAGCUUUCUUCAAAUUAUGCUAAUUGAUCUUAAAAAGCUGGCUACUGGUGUUAUUUGCUGCAAUUUAUUUCUGACAGCCAGGUAGUCUUGGAAUGCUUUCGUGAUGCAAUUUAUUUCUGACAGACAAGCUAUGCUAAUUGAUCUUUAAAAGCUGGCUACUGGUGUUAUCUGCUUUGUGGAAGGCUGUUAGCAUUAAAAUUUAGUGCUCGGCUGUUCAUCAUAGUCUCAUUCCCUAGAUAAUUAAUGAGGCAUGAAAAAUAGGUGAAAUUGCAGGAAAAUUGAAGAUGGGAACACGAUUCAUUUUGUCAAUGAGAACAUCUACUGUUACAGAUACACUUUCUGUAUUCUACCUAUCGAUGGCGUAAUGUUUGAAUAUUAAGUCAUUUCUUUUUGUCAUUAGCAGGUGCUUUUAUUUAUGUUCAUAUUCCACGUAUGCAUGUGCUGCUCCGGUGAUGUUUUAUUAGUUGAUUGGCAUAUAUGGAUCUCUCCAUGUUUAUUAGUUGAUCUCCAACCCCUACUUUGCUGUGGUGCUAUGGGAGCAAGAAGAGCAUGCAUGCUUUCUCUCUACAUCUAGGGUCCAUAUGGCCAGAUUGACGGGCCUAAACUCUGGCUCAAAGGUUUCUUUCAAGAAUCAUGAGAGAACAUUCAAGGAGUGGAUUAUUUGGAAAUUAGAACCUUCAGAUUUCUUAGAAGUGAGGUUACUUUCCAACUAGAAUUAUAGGCAAGCAUUGGUCUUUAAUUUGGAAGUGAUUAUCAUGUCUAAGAAGGGAGAUCAACCCGGUUUGGUGUACAUGAUCUUCACUCAGAUUUAUGUGAAUAUAAGCGUAAGAGGUCUAGUGGCAAUGCUACAAAAUCAUUGCAGGCGUGAGUAUCCAGAUUGCACUACUGCUGGCCGUUUCUUGCCAUUGCCUACAACAGGCUUCUGACAAAGCCAAGUCAUGGCCUCAUUAGGCCCCUUUUUUCAGCCAAACUGAAAGCACUUCAUGUUAGCUUGUAUUCGCUUUUGGAUUAACUACAAUGCAUUGUACCCAUCCAUGCUCCAGGGAUAUAAUAACAUUGUAGAUAGACGGAGACUGAAUCAGUUCACACUACUUUGAUGUCUAUCGAGCCAAUGGGACAACAAAGAAAAGAAGAACCGGAAGCAGGUUAUCUAUCUUCACGAGCAAGUCGGUGUUUGUAAACCUUCACCAGAGCCAUUCCAGCUCUUUCAGAGCCACAAGGCAAGGAAGUUGAGGAACCAAGACCCCAACGGCGCGGAGCAGUUUGCCGUCGAGAGGACUAGGGCUGCCAUCAGGGACCUCUAGACCAAGCUCAACAUCUCCCUCGUGCCUCCAUCAACACCGUGUCUUGGAGGGUCGUCGCCGUCCGCGACGACGAGCUACUGCCGCAGCUUUGUCAGCCACACGGUUAGAGGGAGGCAUCAAGGGCCUGCCACCGCUGCCGGGGCCGACGUGCGUGUAAUUUCUAUUAAUGUAUCUUAUGUUGCCAAACAACAACAUGCUCCUGUCAAUGCUAUAUCGUUGUGGGUAUGGCAUUUCAGUUUCUUCCUCAGGUGAUAUUCCAAUAUAAUAAGUUCCAUCAAGAAUUGCAUGUA